UAAUACGAAGGGGGCUAGCGUUGUUCGGAUUUACUGGGCGUAAAGCGCACGUAGGCGGAUUGUUAAGUCGGGGGCGAAAUCCUGGAGCUCAACUUCAGAAUUGCCUUCGAUACUGGCUUUCUAGAGGCUGGAAGAGGUUAGUGGAAUUCCCAGUGUAGAGGUGAAAUUCGUAGAUAUUGGGAAGAACACCAGUGGCGAAG
rnacentral:rRNA from 1 species